CUCUGAAAGAGCAAGCAUGACACAAUUCUUGGGAAAGUUGCUCACCCAAGGGAGCGCUACCUGAGCACAAACAUGCAUUCUGUCUUCCUGGGGGGCCUUGUCAAACUCUGCUGAUACAUCCAAUAUAGAAAAACACUUGUUGAUAUUAGCCUCCAAAAUUUCACCCUUAUCAGAAAAUAGCUCUGCAAGAUGGGAACAGCAAGAUCCAUCAAGAGAUGACCCAUCCCAGCUCUCUGCCUAAAGAUGCCCUUCAGCUAGGAUACACUUCUUGAAAUGCAACACAACUAAAUGUAGUCUGCCAUCCCCACUGACCAAGAGGAGACAUUUCUUUGUGAGAAGCAUCCAUUUGGCCUUACUGGGAAAAAAUAUCAUAAGGAUUUACAGUGGAAUUCAUUGUGUUAACAAGACACUUUCAGUGAACAAGAAGAGGAACUCUAAAAGCCACAUAGCUCUAUGAAUUGCUGAGGAAGGCAUAUCAACUCCAAGAAACAUAUCAGUCCCAGAAACUGUGGGGUCACUAAGAGAAACCAUUACAGACCAGGAUCAGGCCGCAACACAACGAGCUCGGAGUGCAUCCCAGUACAAUCUAUGAGAAAAUCUGCCAGAUGAGGAAGUCAGAUGAACGGGAAAACCUUUGCAGAGUAUUUCAAAACUCUUUAUUCAUUAUAUAUGAGGCACGAAGUUUCUAAUUU